rnacentral:rRNA from 1 species
GGCGCACGGAGUGCGUAACACGUGGGCAUCUGACCCUCCUGAUGGGGAAUAACUCCGGGAAAACGAUAGCUAAUUCCGUCAUAACAUUCCCUGGACUCCGGUUUCGGGGAAUCCAAACAGCCAGUGGAUGCGUCGAGCAUGGAGGCAGCCCUGUGCCCGAAUUAGCUAGCUUGUGCCAGCGGUAACGGCCUACCAAGGCAAUGCAUCGGUAGCUGGUUCUUGAUGAGGAUGGCCAGCCACACUGGGAACUGAGCACACGGUCCAACUCCAUAAACGGGAGGCAGCAGUGGGGCAAUCUUGCGCAAAUGGGCGAAAGCCUGACGCAGCGACGCCGCGUGGGGGAUGAAGCUUCUCGGAGUGUAAACCCCUUUCGACUGGGACGAAUGCCCGCAAGGGAGUGACGGUACCAGUAGAAGAAGCCCCGGCUAACUACGUGCCAGCCGCCGCGG